GCAGCAACAAUCAUACGUACAGCGUAAGCCUUGCAGCUUUUAUUGCUAAGCAAGAUGGCCCAGUAAAAAAAUAGAGAAUACAUUCUAAUUGAAAAAAAAACAUUACAUCAAACUACAUCACUCAGAAGCUGAAACUAUAAAGCAAAGUCACCUAGUGCUUAAACUUGCAAUAAUUCAAAUACAUAAGCCAUUACAUUGCUGUAGUGACAAAACAAGCUCGGGAGGGAUAGACAAGAAAAGAGAAUGUGGAAGGAUUGACAAGAAUAUAGACGAAGAUCGUUAGUUGUAACGGAAUAGAGAGCGGCCAUAAGUAAAUUUUUUUUCUCAAAAAGUCUUGCAAGGUCAAGAAAAAACCUUACAAAAAGAGAAAAAAGAUGAACUAUUUAGGAAGGACAAAAAGAAGAGAGAGAGAGAAGCUCAGCAAAGAUAGCACCAACCAUAUGGAGCACGGCUUAUGGUGUAAUCCUUCCACCUCUUCUUGUACCAUCCAAAGCUAGAAGUCAAAGACAAAGAAGCUCUCCAUCUCAAGCAGCGCAUGUAGGUGGAAUACGGAGCAAACAGAAGAAAGGCGCGGGAGGACGGAGCAAAAGGCAUGGUAGAUUUGGCCAGUCGAUCUCUCAGAGCCAAAAGGAAUGGAAGCGUG
rnacentral:lncRNA from 1 species